rnacentral:rRNA from 1 species
AAAACAACUCUCAGCAACGGAUAUCUUGGCUCUUGCACGAUGAAGAACGCAGCGAAAUGCGAUACGUAGUGUGAAUUGCAGAAUUCCGCGAAUCAUC